rnacentral:rRNA from 1 species
GACGUAGGGGGCCAGCGUUGUUCGGAAUUACUGGGUGUAAAGGGUUCGUAGGCGGUGCGGCAAGUUGGGAGUGAAAUCUCUGGGCUUAACCCAGAGGCUGCUUCCAAAACUGCUGUGCUUGAGUGUGGGAGAGGCGCGUGGAAUUGCAGGUGUAGCGGUGAAAAUGCGUAGAUAUCUGCAGGAACACCCGUGGCGAAAGCGGCGCGCUGGACCACUACUGACGCUGAGGAACGAAAGCUAGGGGAGCAAACAGG